rnacentral:tRNA from 1 species
AGCCUCUUAGCUUAGCUUGUAGAGUGUGCGCUGUAUAAAAGUGGAGGCGUGUUCAUGCGUGGGUUCGAAUCCCACCGAGGUUU